GUACAGGGGGACAAUCACUUCCCUGGACCUGCUGGCCACGCUAUUUCUGAUGUCAUUGGCCUUCUUGGCCACCUGGGCACACUGCCGGCUCAUAUUCAGGUGAGCAUCGACCAACACCACCAGAUCCUUUUCCUCUGCACAGCUUUCCAUCAUCUCUGCCCCAAGCCUGUAGUGGUACAUGGGGUUGUGGUGGCCAAAGUGCAGGACCCAGCACUUCACCAUGUUGAACCUCAUUUCAUUGGCCUCUGUCCAUUGACCCAACCUAUCCAGGUCCCUCUGCACGGCCUUCCUACCCUCCUGCAGACUGACACUUCCCCCCAGGUUGGUGUUGUCUGCAGACUCCCUGAGGGUGCACUCAAUUCCCUCACCCAAAUCUUCAAUAAAUAUGUUAAAGAGGAUGGGACCCAACACCGACCCCUGGGGAACACCACUGGUGACCAGUCGCCAUCUGGAUUUCACUCCAUUCACCACCACU